rnacentral:rRNA from 1 species
GAGUUUGAUCGAUGGCUCAGGACGAACGCUGGCGGCGCGCCUAACACAUGCAAGUCGAACGAGAGAGAAGGAGCUUGCUUCUUCGAUCGAGUGGCGAACGGGUGAGUAACGCGUGAGGAACCUGCCUCAAAGAGGGGGACGAACAGUUGGAAACGACUGCUAAUACCGCAUAAGCCCACGGGUCGGCAUCGACCUGAGGGAAAAGGAGUGAUCCGCUUUGAGAUGGCCUCGGCGUCCGAUUAGCUAGUUGGUGAGGUAACGGCCCACCAAGGCGACGAUCGGUAGCCGGACUGAGAGGUUGAACGGCCACAUUGGGACUGAGACACGGCCCAGACUCCUACGGGAGGCAGCA